rnacentral:rRNA from 1 species
AUGAGCUCUGGGAAGACGUCGUGGCCAGAGUUGGUGGGCAUGCCGGCGACACCAGCGGUGAUGACCAUCAACAGCCAGAGGCCUGACUUGACGACCGAGGUGCUCCAGAUUGGGAUCAGUCCAAGCCCACCUGGGUUCGACUCGACACGAGUCUGUGUGUACCUCGACCCACGAGACAAGCUUGGCCUUGUUGCAGCCGUCCCCGUCGUUGGCUAG